rnacentral:misc_RNA from 1 species
AACUUGUUUUUGGAAUUGUCAGCAUGAUCAAUUUUGCAAGAGCCACGCCAUACUAAUUGAUAUCAGUGCUGUCUUAGAAAGUGGGUCUUUCCUCUUCAGAGUUUCUAGCUAAAAGAAUGACGAGACAUUCAAACAAAUUUAUUUGAAGUUCACUUGUACCUGAUCUGAUUUUUGUGAUAGCCAAUUUAAAUGGCAAAUUUUUAAAAUUACUGAUAUACAUGUAUUUAAGUAAACUGUACUGCUAACAAUGCAUGACUUAGUGUGGCAAAACCUGUCUUUUUACCUGUAUCUUUACUUGUAUAGUGGUAUUGAUUGUGGUUUACUACCCAUGGGGUCGCACAUACAUGCAAUUGUAGUUAAAAAAUCCAAUUUACCCUCUGGGUUGUUGUGUACAGUAUACUGUGAAAUUUCAUUUAAAAUCAGUUGGGCUAACUUUUCCUGGAUUUUCAAUUUUUCAUAAGAGGUUCUUGGUGUCUGAUGUAAAUUCAUAGAUCCACUUGUGUAUAUCAUAAACAAAGACUGUUUUGUCUUUACAUGGGGGACAUUAAUACUCGGGUAAGGGAUAGCCACCUAAUCCAUGAAAUUUGAGCCCCUACAAAUAGGGAAUGAUUCCACAGUAGUGUGAAUGUGCAUGCUCUCAUACAAAAAGUGCCAGUGGUUGUGAAUUAUUUCCAUUAAGAUAUUCUUAAUGAGAAAUAUUUUGUAUAAUUUUAGAGAUUAAAUGAGAGAAAA